rnacentral:rRNA from 1 species
UAGGGAAUCUUAGACAAUGGGGGAAACCCUGAUCUAGCCAUGCCGCGUGUGUGAUGAAGGCCUUAGGGUUGUAAAGCACUUUCGCCAGGGAAGAUAAUGACGGUACCUGGUAAAGAAACCCCGGCUAACUCCGUGCCAGCAGCCGCGGUAAUACGGAGGGGGUUAGCGUUGUUCGGAAUUACUGGGCGUAAAGCGCGCGUAGGCGGACUAUUAAGUCAGGGGUGAAAUCCCGGGGCUCAACCCCGGAACUGCCCUUGAUACUGGUAGUCUUGAGUUCGAGAGAGGUGAGUGGAAUUCCGAGUGUAGAGGUGAAAUUCGUAGAUAUUCGGAGGAACACCAGUGGCGAAGGCGGCUCACUGGCUCGAUACUGACGCUGAGGUGCGAAAGCGUGGGGAGCAAACAGGAUUAGAUACCCCCGUAGUCC